rnacentral:rRNA from 1 species
AGCAGCCGCGGUAAUUCCAGCUCCAAUAGCGUAUAUUAAAGUUGUUGCAGUUAAAAAGCUCGUAGUUGAAUUUCGGGAUCAACACGUCGGUCGUGCCUUCGGUACGCACUAGCGUCGUUGGUUCCUCCCUUCUGACGAACCAUGAUGUCAUUAACUUGGUGUUUUGGGGAGUUAGGACUGUUACUUUGAAAAAAUUAGAGUGUUUAAAGCAGGCAAUCGCUUGAAUACAUUAGCAUGGAAUAAUGAAAUAGGACGUUCGAUCCUAUUUCGUUGGUUUCUAGGAUCAACGUAAUGAUUAAUAGGGAUAGUUGGGGGCAUUAGUAUUCAAUUGUCAGAGGUGAAAUUCUUGGAUUUAUUGAAGACUAACUACUGCGAAAGCAUUUGCCAAGGAUGUUUUCAUUAAUCAAGAACGAAAGUUAGGGGAUCGAGGACGAUCAGAUACCGUCGUAGUCUUAACCAUAAACUAUGCCGACUAGGGAUCGAAUGAUGUUAAUUUUUUAAUGACUCAUUCGGCGCCUUA